GUGUAACGCUGACUGGGCGAGAACAACUUCAUGCAGGCGUUGUUGCACAGUCGCCAGCUUCUCCAUGAUGCCUUUCUUCGUCCCCUUCAUGCACGUGCAG
rnacentral:pre_miRNA from 1 species